AUUGAACGCUGGCGGCAGGCUUAACACAUGCAAGUCGAACGAGUGGCGGACGGGUGAGUAAUGCUUGGGAAACUGGCUUAUGGAGGGGGAUAACGACGGGAAACGGUCGCUAAUACCGCGUACCAUAGGAUGAGCCCAGAUGGGAUUAGGUAGUUGGUGGGGUAAUGGCUCACCAAGGCGACGAUCUCUAGCUGGUCUGAGAGGCUGACCAGCCACACCGGAACUGAGAUACGGCCCGGACUCCUACGGUAGGCAGCAGUGGGGAAUAUUGCACAAGGGGGGCAACCCUGAUGCAGCAAUGCCGCGUGAAUGAAGAAGGCCUUCGGGUUGUAAAGUACGUUCAGUGGGGAGGCGUUAAUCGCAGAAGAAGCACCGGCUAACUCCGUGCCAGCAGCCGCGGUAAUUC
rnacentral:rRNA from 1 species